CUUUUAUUAAAUUAUCAUUUCGCGCUUCCUCGCCAUUUAAACACUGACCACCCAGCCAAGGUGAAGUUGAAUGUUAAGUUUAGAUUGACAAAAUGUGACUAUUUAAUAAAUAUGUCAAUGUCACCCUCAGCCGGCGUUGCAUGCAGACAGAAACUGCUAUUUUUUUUGGCAUCGCGGUGGUGAAGCCGGCACGCCUUACCUGUGUGGCCGGGUCGGGACAGCGCCAAAGUCCGGGCUCCUGUAGCCGAGAACCGGAGCACAGCGCGGAACAUAGCGAGGUUGGUAGGUGGCUGCUAACUGCUAGCGUGCGGGCUAAAGGACUGCGCGGCGGACACACACGAAGUGGAGGCGACGCCGUGUCACGUGACUGACGGAAA